AGACAUUAGCCAUGUCAUAACAAUUGUAAUGUUACUGUAAUAUAUGUAUACUGUCGCAAGCCAGAUAUAUAGUUUGUGCAAUUACGUUGGCAACGUUGCAUGUUAUUGUGAUCUGCCAAUUAGGAAUAAUCGGCUUUAUAGCUGCGCGAACUUGCCCGAACGCAGAACGCUGCAUUCUUAAUGAUUUGCAGAGACGCAUUUUAUGGUAAUUUUGGCGCGGAAGUCCACAUGGCGUUUAUGGUAGUUGUAUACAAUAUAACAAUAUACAUAGUUCUUUAAUAUUUUUGCACAAGUGAAUAUGACAAAUCCUACAAGUUCAUUGAUUAAAUUUGACGUAUUAAGCUGUUAUAUUCACCUAUAGGUGAAUAUAACAAAAUCGAAAUUUGCAAAAUGGCGGCUAGCCGUUUUGUGAAAGUUACUGAUAAAGAAAUAAGCGAAAUUAAAAUAAACACAGUCGCAAAAAACACAAAAGACUUGUGUAAAAAUACUAAAUCAAUUAUCGGUGAAUAUUCCCCGAUAAUCACCUCGCCUUCGGC